rnacentral:misc_RNA from 1 species
AACGCACCUUGCGCUCCUUGGUAUUCCGAGGAGCAUGCCUGUUUGAGUGUCAUGGAAUCAUCAACUCUUAUCCUUUCUUUGUUGAGAGGAUGAGGGCUUGGACUUGGAGGUUUCUGCUGGUCCGUCUUUGUAAAAGAAGAUGGUCGGCUCCUCUUGAAUGCAUUAGCUUGAACCUCUGCUGUAUCGGCUGUCCAGUGUGAUAAUUGUCUACGCUGUGGCUGUGAGGCGUUUUAGUGGGCUCGGCUUCUAACCGUCUUCUUACGGAGACAACAACAUUCGUUACGAAUGACCUCUGACCUCAAAUCAGGUAGGAUUACCCGCUGAACUUAA